rnacentral:rRNA from 1 species
AUUGAACGCUGGCGGCAGGCUUAACACAUGCAAGUCGAGCGAGAGGCGGACGGGUGGGUAGGGUCUGGGAAAAUGACCGGUGGAGGGGGAUAACUACGGGAAAAGGUAGCUAAAACCGCCUACCAUCAGAUGUGCCCAGAUGGGUUGAGCGAGUGGGUGGGGUAAUGGCUCACCAAGGCGACGAUCCCUAGCUGGUCUGAGAGGAUGACCCGCCACACUGGAACUGAGACACGGUCCAGACUCCUCCGGGAGGCAGCAGUGGGGAAUAUUGCACAAUGGGCGCAAGCCUGAUGCAGCCAUGCCGCGUGUGUGAAGAAGGCCUUCGGGUUGUAAAGCACUUUCAGCGAGGAGGCGUUACUCGCAGAAGAAGCACCGGCUAACUCCGUGCCAGCAGCCGCGGUAAUAC